rnacentral:ncRNA from 1 species
GCAGAGUAAGAUCCUAAGCGUCAAGUGUCCGAAGAACGGGGAGUUGUCUUCGGAACGAAAAGCCCAUGCGGCUUGCGGUUUACGGAUCUGCAUCCCGCUGC